UGCGCAGGCGGAUGAAUGUGUCAGGUGUGAAAUCUCGGGGCUCAACCUCGAAGCUGCGCCUGAAACUGUUCAUCUAGAGUAUUGGAGAGGUAAGCGGAAUUUCCGGAGUAGCGGUGAAAUGCGUAGAUAUCGGAAGGAACACCAAUGGACGAAGGCAGCUUACUGGACAAUAACUGACGCUCAGGCACGAAAGCAUGGGUAGCGAAAG
rnacentral:rRNA from 1 species